rnacentral:rRNA from 1 species
UAGGGAAUCUUCCGCAAUGGGCGAAAGCCUGACGGAGCAACGCCGCGUGAGUGAUGAAGGUCUUCGGAUCGUAAAACUCUGUUAUUAGGGAAGAACAAAUGUGUAAGUAACUAUGCACGUCUUGACGGUACCUAAUCAGAAAGCCACGGCUAACUACGUGCCAGCAGCCGCGGUAAUACGUAGGUGGCAAGCGUUAUCCGGAAUUAUUGGGCGUAAAGCGCUCGUAGGCGGUUUUUUAAGUCUGAUGUGAAAGCCCACGGCUCAACCGUGGAGGGUCAUUGGAAACUGGAAAACUUGAGUGCAGAAGAGGAAAGUGGAAUUCCAUGUGUAGCGGUGAAAUGCGCAGAGUUAUGGAGGAACACCAGUGGCGAAGGCGACUUUCUGGUCUGUAACUGACGCUGAUGUGCGAAAGCGUGGGGAUCAAACAGG